UGCAACUUUUGGAAAAAAUUUAAAGCUGC
rnacentral:piRNA from 1 species